UUUUGGUAGCAUCAGAGGUGAGAGUUGGAAAUUGUGCUGCCUCGAUACUAUUUUUUAUUUUUUUAGAAAUAGUGAUGGUUACAGUUUACUCGAUAAUUCAUGUCAAUGUGUUGCUGUUGGAUUCGAUUACUAGUUUGUUGAUUGAAAAUGGAGUUUAUAGGAGCGUCUGUUUUUUUCAGUGGUUAAAAAGGAUUAGUUUCUUAAUCUUUACAGAACCGACUACGAUCUUGUAAGGCUGAUUAUAAGUGUGGUUGCAGGCCUUGGUAUGUAGUGUCGAGGAAUUCAAAUUCGGCAUUUUUGUGAUUGGACGUUGGUUGCUUUAGUUUUCAAUCAGCGGAUUUAAAGCUUAUCGAUUUUUGGUAUUGUUUCCUAAAGGGAAGUAGAAUGAUGAUUCAAAGUUUAUCAUGCUCAUCUGCGUAUCUUGAAUCCUUUCACAGACUCGCACAGCUGCCUCUAGCAAACAUUGCCACAAACUAAAGAUUUUGAAGUAAGGGCUAUCUCGAGAAAAAUUUGGAUACUAGAGAUCUACAACCAUUUGAAAUCCGUGCUUUUGAGUUAGGAAGCGAUAGUCAGAGCCUGAUUUUGGUAAGAGAGGAGGCUGGAGAGAGGCCAAGACUGGUUGGAGUUGUUUGGGGUGGUACCACUCGAUAGGGUCGUCUAAAACUUCGUAGACGCCAAAGAAUUGGACGAGUGGGGUUGAUCUGAGUCGCCUUCUGGAGUCCCUCGAGCUUAGCAUUGUCACUUCGAAUGGACGGAGGAUCAUUAUAGCACAAUGUUAUCUAGCAGACACAUACAUCAAAUGGACGGAGGAUGUGCAUCAAAUGGACGGAGGACAGUGAUGUGCAGGUCCUCAGAAUCGCUGAAGGACCUACUGUCUACUGCUACUUUUGAAACGAGUGCGACGCAGCCAGAGGUGAAGGAGCUUGUUAUUCUACCUUCUUCCAAGAAUGCUCUUGAUCUCACCAGCCAGAAAAUCCAGUCAGCGGGGAGAAAAGCCACAUAUUCAAUACUUUUUACAAUCGAUGACCCUUUUGAACUUUCACUUUCAAGUCCGUUAUCUGGUGUCGAGCAUUGCAGCAACUUCAUGGAGUGGCACCAAAGGAUGAACAGAUGUGGUCGUCUUCCGAAAGCUGCAUAGGUCUUUGAAUCCAUAUACCUCCUUUUAGUUCAUCCGGAUGAAACGAGUCUGAUCAUUGUCAGAAAUUUGUAUUUUAUUUUUUUCUAUACUUUUUUCUAUAUUUUUUUCAUUAUUCUCUUUGUAUGAAUACUUCUCAUACGGGAUUUUUUCAUACAUUUUAAUCUAAUGCUGUGUGAUAUGAAAAAUAGUUACGAACAAGUACAAGUGAUCUUUGAUUAACAAGAUUAUAUUGAGUGUUCCCUCAUGCGAUGAAAAAUAUACUUUCACCACAGACGUAGAUUUUAAUCAA